AGCGAUUUAGCUCAGGGGAAGAGCGCCGGUAAGCUUCACCAGCUCGUUGUAUCAUAUUCUCUCACUAACCAAAUCAGGGCUCAUAUAAAAUUGAAACCCGGAGGUCAAAGGAUCGAAACCUUUAAUUGCUA